rnacentral:sRNA from 1 species
AUGUACCACUCGUACACUCCGGUUCCUGUGCGCCGUCCGCACCCACCUGACGAC